AUUAUUAAUGCAAUGGGCUUGAAUGGGUAAUUUAUCAUGAAGAAUAAUCUUUUGAAAAGAAAACCCUAAAUUCUGUUUCAUUUUGACCGGGGCUGCUCUGUCUAAUUGUAAACCAUGUGGCGGCCAUGUUCAUGAUUUAAUGUAACAAUAAAUUAUCUUUUUCCUCUAAAUCUAGAUUAUCAGUUCAAAAUCUUCUACUCGACGUCUAUAUCUAUAAAUCCUUUAUAACUAGUUCAGUCCUAGUCUAAAAACCAAUGUUACGACUCAAUUCAAUAAUUCAUGUUGAUGGGUCUAGACUGAAUCGAUUUAGGAUAAUUUAUCUUAUCGUAAUUACUAAUUUUAUUAGAUUUAUUUAAAUAGAACUAAUAAUUUAAAAUUUAGAUAGAUCUAUCUAGACUAGUUACUAGAUCUAUAGAAAUUCUCAAUCAAGAUUAUCUAAAUCUAUAUAGAUCAAGAAGAAGAACAGUUUAAAGAAAAUAAUACCAGGGUUAUGCUCCUUUCACCGUUGAGCUCCAGGAUGAAGAAUGAAAGACAGAGAGCAAUGUGAAGACAUCAAAGAAUGUGCAGGUCUGCCAUGAAAUGGUUUAUCCAGGGCUAAGUACAGAGAGGAAUAUAAAAGGGCUGUUGACUGAUCUUGUGUGGUGCCCCCAUGGCUCAACAGACUGAUUGAUAGGUAAUGAAAAGAAUUUAAUGUAUUUUGUAAAAAAAUUAUGAAAAUUGGUGUUAAUUACAUUAAGAGACUUAAUCACUUUUUUUUAUUUCCAGAAAAUAAUACCAGGGUUAUGUUCCUUUCACUGUUGAGUUCCAGGAUGAAGAAUGAAAGACAGAGAGCAAUGUGAAGACAUCAAAGAAUGUGCAGGUCUGCCAUGAAAUGGUUUAUCCAGGGCUAAGUACAGAGAGGAAUAUAGAAGGGCUGUUGACAGAUCUUGUGUGGUGCCCCCAUGGUUCAACAGACUGAUUGAUAGAAAAUAAUACCAGGGUAAUGGUCCUUUCACUGUUGAGUUCCAGGAUGAAGAAUGAGAAAGACAGAGAGCAAUGUGAAGACAUCAAAGAAUGUGCAGGUCUGCCAUGAAAUGGAUUAUCCAGGGCUAAGUACAGAGAGGAAUAUAGAAGGGCUGUUGACAGAUCUUGUGUGGUGCCCCCAUGGUUCAACAGACUGAUUGAUAGGUAAU